rnacentral:rRNA from 1 species
GCCUGGGGAGUACGGUCGCAAGAUUAAAACUCAAAGGAAUUGACGGGGACCCGCACAAGCGGUGGAUGAUGUGGAUUAAUUCGAUGCAACGCGAAAAACCUUACCUACCCUUGACAUGGAUGGAAUCCUUGAGAGAUUGAGGAGUGCCCGAAAGGGAACCAUUACACAGGUGCUGCAUGGCUGUCGUCAGCUCGUGUCGUGAGAUGUUGGGUUAAGUCCCGCAACGAGCGCAACCCUUGUCAUUAGUUGCUACGAAAGAGCACUCUAAUGAGACUGCCGGUGACAAACCGGAGGAAGGUGGGGAUGACGUCAAGUCCUCAUGGCCCUUAUGGGUAGGGCUUCACACGUCAUACAAUGGUACAUACAGAGGGCCGCCAACCCGCGAGGGGGAGCUAAUCCCAGAAAGUGUAUCGUAGUCCGGAUUGUAGUCUGCAACUCGACUGCAUGAAGUUGGAAUCGCUAGUAAUCGCGGAUCAGCAUGUCGCGGUGAAUACGUUCCCGGGUCUUGUACACACCGCCCGUCACACCAUGGGAGCGGGUUUUACCAGAAGUAGGUAGCUUAACCGUAAGGAGGGCGCUUACCACGGUAGGAUUCGUGACUGGGGUGAAGUCGUAACAAGGUAGCCGUAUCGGAAGGUGCGGCUGGAUCACCUCCUUUCUAG